GAAAGCCGUCGUUGUAAAAAUUCGAGUAAACUGGAAUAUUACAGAUAAAGCCCAUGAGGUAUUAAAGUAAACAUCCACAGCUCUCGAAAUCCUGCAGAAAAGAUGAUUUUGAAUCAGCAAAUAGGUCUUAUCCGACCAAUUCUUGGAAACUACUAAUAUUAGCGAUAUUUUGGAGAUCCAAAACCUUAGCUUGUGCAUGGUCCAAACUUCACUGAGCACUCAAGUAUAAAUAAGUCUUACAACUCCCUAACAGAAAACUUAAUGACUUCAACUUAAAUUGCAUACUAACCUAGAAUUUGGGCUACUU
rnacentral:lncRNA from 1 species